ensembl:lncRNA
UGAGGCCUCACCUUCCCAUGCAGGGGGCGCACGUUUGAUCCCUGCUCAAGGAGCUGAAAUCCCACAACAGAAGCGAUAUUGUAACAAAUUCAACAAAGGCUCUUUAAAAUGAAAAAAGUGAACUGAGGUACAUUAAAAAAAAAAUUGUAGGUGCUUCGGAAUGACCCUGUCUUAGAAAACAUGAAGUAAAAAUGCAGACCUGGCCUGUGAAGUCAGAGCGAAACGCAGAGGGCCGGCCAACAAGCGAGGUGAGACGGCGCCUGGCAGCUUCCUGCUGCAGAGCCGAAGGAACAUGAGCAGACCGCAGCGCUCACACACGUGCAAAGAAACCACGGAACUUUUCUCCGUAAUCAGCCCCACGGACAAGAAAAGAGAGGGGGAAAUAGCGCAGCUGCAGAAAUUAGGAAACUUCUAAAGACGGCAGGUCCACAAGCUCAUUUAUCGGUAAUUAUGUUAGAUGCAAACAGACCGAACACUCCCCUGGAAAGACUAAGAUGGUCAGUCUGUUUGGGUUUUUUUUUAUUAAAAUGGAUACUGUUUACAAGGGACACAGAUAAAUUAUGAGACUGUGGAUGGGGAAGGACCGGUUGUGCAAUUAUGCACUGAAGGAGGUGGCACGUGACAUCGCCACGGAGGUCUCCGGGGCAGGCUGCUCCCCAGGAGCCAUUUCUGGAGCGAGGCAUGACGACAUGUCCAGGUGGACUGGUACCUGCAGUUCACCCUCCGGUGGUCCGGAAUACGACGUCCAUGUACACACUCACUCACUUCGGUAAAGAAAAGCCAGAGGAGGCAAGACAGGAAGCGCCGCCCAGGCGAGACAAAGGAGAUGCAGGCUCAGUCGGGGGAGUGUACAGGAGCGUGGGGUGAGUGAAGCCCCCAACUUCUGCCAGAGGACUGGAAGGCGGAGCCCCAGGCAGCCGGAACGUGACAGAGACGAGCCAGGAAGGGGCUCCAGAGAGCAGCCAUGAGGUGGCUUAUGACUUCUGGGCUCACCCCCAAGCUGUGUGCCACACCAAGUUCAAGAAGUGAACCGCAGGACACAGCAUUGCCCAGGCUCCACACUGGCCACUUGGCAGUGCCCACACAGGACAGAGGUCAGACAGCACUGCAAAGGCUGUGAGGGCAGGGCCAGCCCUGGAACCGCUGUCCACACGAGGCCACUUAGAAUCUGCAGCUCAAACCCAACUGGGUUGACUGUGUGCUAAAACAAAAAUGUCACCAUUCUCAAUGGGGUUUAAACAAAACCAGAUAUUUAUAACAUAAUGCUUAAAUUGUAGGAUACAAUCCAACAUUACUCUGCAUAUGAAGAACCAGGGAAAAUCCAACCAACCCACAAGGGAAACGAAAAUCCAGUGUCAUCAUGUCAUAAAAAUCCUCAUCAAAAUAUUAGCAAAUAGAAGCAAGCAACAUAAAGUAUAAAAACCACAACCACAUGAAGAUUAUCUCAGAAAAACAAGGCUGGUUCCACAUGGGAAAAUGAAUCCGUGUGAUCCACUAUAUUAGCAGUCUAAAGAAGAAACCACAUGAGCAUAUCAACUCAUGUGAAGAAAGCGCUUGACAGAAUUCAGUAUCCACCCAUGAUAAACACUCUCAGCAAACUAGAAACAGGAGAGUCUUCACUAAAUAUAGUAAAUGACAUCUCAAAGAAAGAGAGAAAAAAAAUCUACAGCUAAUGUGAUAGUUAAUUCUGAACAACUGAAUGUUUUACUCUAAAAUCAGAAACAAGGCAAAGAUGUCCCCUGGAUCCACUCAGUUCAGUUCAGUUCAGUUCAGUUCAGUCGCUCAGUCGUGUCCGACUCUUUGCAACCCCAUGAACUGCAGCACACCAGGCCUCCCUGUUCAUCACCAACUCCCGGAGUUCACACAGACUCACGUCCAUCGUGUUGGUAGUGCCAUCCAGCCAUCUCACCCUCUGUCAGCCCCUUCUCCUCCUGCCCCCAACCCCUCCCAGCAUCA